AGUUGCAGCGACGUUAGGAGCUGAGAGUGCGGACAGAAAAUAUUUCCCCCGGCAAGGUGGUGGGUGCCCUGAAGCACGAUGUUCCUGAUUCUCAUCUUUCUUCUCGUUCUUCCUCGUGUUUUCAGAACUACGUGGCUCUGUUUUCUAAUCAGAAGCAAAAAAUUAUAUGAAAGAUACCACUAGCUGAGAUGUGAGAGGAUCAAAUCCACAGCCACCAGAUGCAAAGCUUACUCCAGUUAUAAGAUCAUAGGCUGACAGCUCUGACCCCAGAUAUGCAGCUGGCCGAAUGAGACAAACGAUGAUAUUGGAAAGUCACCUAUAAGGUCGGAGGGGAUCUUUCCAUUGCUGAACCUACCCGU